UACGGAGGAUGCGAGCGUUAUCCGGAUUUAUUGGGUUUAAAGGGUGCGCAGGCGGACCGUUAAGUCAGCGGUGAAAUCUCACGGCUCAACCGUGGAACUGCCAUUGAUACUGGCGGACUAGAGUACGGACGGCGCCGGCGGAAUGUGUCAUGUAGCGGUGAAAUGCUUAGAUAUGCCACAGAACACCGAUCGCGAAGGCAGCUGGCGAGGCCGGUACUGACGCUCAGGCACGAAAGCGUGGGGAUCAAACAGGAUUA
rnacentral:rRNA from 1 species